UACGAACUGUGCGAACGUUAUUCGGAAUCACUGGGCGUAAAGGGCGCGUAGGUGGCGCGGGCAGUCAACGGUGAAAGUUCGGGGCUCAACCCUGAAUCGGCCGUCGAUACUCCCGGGCUUGAGCACUGUAGAGGCAGAUGGAAUUCCGGGUGUAGCGGUGGAAUGCGUAGAGAUCCGGAAGAACACCGGUGGCGAAGGCGGUCUGCUGGGCAGUAGCUGACACUGAGGCGCGACAGCGUGGGGAGCAAACAGG
rnacentral:rRNA from 1 species